rnacentral:misc_RNA from 1 species
UUCAUUAGCUGGUUAGGCUUGGAUUGUGGGAGUUGCUGGCUUCUCAGAUAGUCAGCUCUUCUUAAAUAUAUUAGCAAAAUCUGCUGAGACCAUCUUUGGUGUGAUAAUUAUCUAUGCCAUUGAAAAUCAGUUGGUUUAGCUUCUAACAACAACUUGACAAAUUUGACCUCAAAUCAGGUAGGACUACCCGCUGAACUUAA